rnacentral:rRNA from 1 species
GGACAGCCGCAGAGAUGCGGUUUCCUUAUGGUCCCAUCACAGGUGGUGCAUGGCUGUCGUCAGCUCGUGUCGUGAGAUGUUGGGUUAAGUCCCGCAACGAGCGCAACCCUUGUCCUAUGUUGCCAGCGCGUAAUGGCGGGGACUCGUGGGAGACUGCCGGCGACAAGUCGGAGGAAGGUGGGGACGACGUCAAGUCAUCAUGCCCCUUAUGCCCAGGGCUGCAAACAUGCUACAAUGGCCGGUACAAAGGGCUGCGAAACCGUGAGGUCAAGCGAAUCCCAUAAAGCCGGUCUCAGUUCGGAUUGGAGUCUGCAACUCGACUCCAUGAAGCCGGAGUCGCUAGUAAUCCCGGAUCAGCAACGCCGGGGUGAAUACGUUCCCGGGCCUUGCACACACCGA